GACGAACGCUGGCGGCGUGCUUAACACAUGCAAGUCGAGCGAAAAGACGAGGAGCUUGCUCCGUGGACGUGUGCGGAGGAGGGGAGAGUAACAUGUGGAUAACCUACCUAUAAGACUGGGAUCAUUUCGGGAAACCGGAGAAAAUACCGGAUAAUCUACUGCACCGUAGGGGUGAAUAGUGAAAGACGGUUGUGGGGGCACUUAUAGAUGGAUAUGCGCCGCAUUGGCGAGUUGGGAAGGUAAAGGCUUACCAAGGGAAGGCGGCGUAGCCGACCUGCGAGCGGGGUCGGCCACACUGGAGCGGGCACGCGGUCCAGGCGCCUACGGGAGGCAGCAGUAGGGAAGCUGCCGCAGUAGGCGAAAGCCUGACGGAGCAACGCCGCGUGAGUGAUGAAGGUCUUCGGAGCGUAAACCUCUGUUAUGAGGGAAGAACAAAUGUGUAAGUAACUAUGCACGUCUUGACGGUACCUAAUCAGAAAGCCACGGCUAACUACGUG
rnacentral:rRNA from 1 species